UUAAAAAAAUACAUUAAAGGAUGAAAUUGACCGUGAUUUUUAGGUAGAAAAUUGGUUGGGUUCUCUUAUUCCGACACCGCUAGUCACAUUUGUCAAUAAUGUCUGUAUAUUUUUGCUUUAGUUGAUGAAGCAUCAAUUGGAAGAGGCAUACUGUGAAGAUACUAAUUUUAUAUUCGAAUUAAAGUGAGGCCGGAGGUUUAGUUGUUGGUUUUUGAUCACGGUUGAUGAGGUGUAUUGUGUUUGUUGGAUCUGCGUGGCGGUGCGAUUGUCUUUUGGUGGAUGAGAAAUGAGGAGCUUUGCAGUGGUCUUCUUGUCAGAAGUUAUCUUCUUUGUCUUCAGCGUGUCAUCACGUGCAUAUAAUUUGUGAGUAGUUGCAGGUGGAGGUUUCUUAUUCUUAUAAGCUGUGGGCACCGUCUUCUGUCGUUGAUCAGAUUUUUUGUCUGGUCUGGUUAUUCCCUCAUCGCCUUUGUUUUCUGAAAGUUUAUUGUCCACGGGAGAGUUCACUUUAUGCUUCUUUUGGUUUUCCUGGUGGUUGAGUGUAUGGAGCCCCUUCUUUUCGGAGGAUCUUACUUGUUCAUCCAUCAGAAUGUAGUUCUUGUUGAUAAGAUGGGGAGAUGAGGAUCAUUUAUACAGUUCUUUAAUGGAUCCAGUGUCACCAUAAUCGUGAAGUUGUUUCAGUUGUACUCAGAUAGGAGUGAGUCAGCAAAAUGAUGAGGAGGAAGGAUCGUUAUUCUUAGUUUUAUAUUUUAACAGAGUGUAUACAGAUUGCAGAAUUAGGAGUCAAUCUUGUGGGGGAAUAUGUAAUGAUUAUCAGAUUUAAACUGAAUCAGAUCAGGGGAGAUGUAUUUGUGUAAAAUGCAGAGUGUAUACAGAUUGCAGAAUUAGGAGUCAAUCUUGUGGGGGAAUAUGUAAUGAUUAUCAGAUUUAAACUGAAUCAGGCCACUUUGGAUUGCAUGUAAAAGUAAUAAACAGAUCAGGGCUUCCAAAUCUUCUACAAACAGCCAUGCAAUCUUGAUAAUUUUGUUGCAUGUAGCGCGCACUCCCAGUAAAUGAUGAUGGUAAUAUAAGUUUCUUUCCUACAGCUGAUGCAUCGACAUCACCACGGUUCACAGAAUCAACAAUAUUAUUGUACACAUCUGAUCUUAAAACACUUUGGUUUUUUAAUACCCAUGUUAGUCUAGCAUUCUCAAUACAUGCCCAUGCAUCCACCACAAAUUGCAUGAAUAAUCGUCCCCCUCUAAGUAA